UAUUAAAGGCUUCUUUUCUCCCACUCGCUAAUAAUAAUAAUUCAAGAAAAAAAAAAAAAAAAAAAGGAAAAAAGAAAAAAAGAAGAAGCCAAAAAAGUGCCGAGUUUAUGCAAGCAAACCCUCCCCAGCUCUUGCCAGGAGCUGAGCAGAGGGGAGCUGGGGAGCACCAGCCCGUACCCGGCUCCCGCUGGGAUGGAUAGGGCUCAGCGCUGGGCUCUGGUCGGACUCGUUCUGCGCUCCCUCCCUCUACUCCCACAGCCUCAAGGUAUUUCUGGAAGAGCAGAAUAAAGUGCUGGGUUUCAAAAACACAGACUGAAGAAAGGACAGCAGUGAUGGAAAAGAUUCACACUGAAACCGCUGCUGUAAGUUAACCCCAGCUAGAAAAGCAGAGCCCCUGUUAUGGACUUACAAGAGGCCUCACCAGUCCUGCAAGGCACAGGAUGAGGCCAUUCCGAGCUGGUGCUCAAAAGCAUCGAUUUAAGGGGCAGAAGGUGAGAGGUUUGGUAAAAGCAUAGGAGGCGGUGACUGUCCUGGCUGCUCCACACAGAGAGGGGAGCCAGGCCACCACAUGCUACUGCUGGACAGGGCUAACACCCCUUCCUGGCUCAGCAUGUGCACAAAGCCUUGCUUUUGGGUGAAAAACUGGGAAUUCGGGGGUUUUUUGCUGCGUAACUACAAUAUAAGCAAAAGGUGCAGUUUUGCACCGAGGUUGUGUUAAAUGCCAUGUGGCUGAACAGGAAGUCCUCAACACACCAGGACACCUAUAAAUCAUGGGAAAAGCUGGGCAAGUUCUUGCUGGAAGUUGUAAAACGUAGAGGAUUAAUUUUCCCUGUUGUCCAUAGGAGAUGAAAGACUGGGAAGUUGGCAUCUCUCACUUAAAUCACUUUUUUGCCCUCCUCAUCUACAGUUGCAGCUGCAGACAGUGGGGAUGGUCUCUCUCCCGUGGGGAGGCUGGGCUGGGUACACAUGUCCACGCCUGCACUGCUCCAAGAGCUUUCCCAGCUGAAGUCCUGGAGCUUUGAGGGAAUGCUAGAAACAGGGAUGACUUCAAUACUUGGCAGCAGCUAGGAUAAGUUAUCUUUUUCCUUUAAAAUAGAGCAUGUUACGCAAGCAGGUUUUAUUAUAAUUAUGGGUAUUUAUUAUUUCUGUAGAUUAUAAAAUAAUCUUCUUGGAAGCAAUAGGAAUGUAAAUUUAGUGUUUCAUGCUAUUUGUGAAUUAAAUAACACAGCAUUUCUUGUACACCUUCUCAAAGCUCAUGAAAAAUCCCCUCUUAUAUUUGCACACCCUGUGGUAAUUAGCAAGUAGUACUUUUCAUUUUUUAGACUUUAAAAAAAUCUUUCUGUAUUGGUUAAAACAAGUGCAUAUUUUUUCCAACAUCCUCCCUAGUAUGAUUGCUGUUCCUGAAUGUUUCUGAAUGUUUCUACGCGUGUUACCAUGUAUGUUUGUUUUGCCUGUUAGUUUGGUUUUGUAGAACAAAUGUAGAAAACGAAAAUAUAGAUUUUUAACCGCAACAAGAUUCCCUGCAGACAGGAUUUUUUUGUACAGCUAUAGAAAUGCAGCAGCUCAGAGGAAGAGCACAGCAUGUAAUUUUACAUAUAUCACAGCCCUUUUUUAUUACUCUUACCACAGCAGCUGAAUGGAGAAUUACAGAAACUAUGUCCCUGAUUCUGUAAAGAUUUUAAAAAGAAGCUUAACUUUAGGCAUACAGGUAACUUCAAAGGGAAUUAAGUGAAAAUAGAAGAUAUGAGUAUUUCAUGACAGAUGAAUGCAUUAGAGAAAAUGAUCUAUACAAAACUUCAUCCAGAAGUUCUGGAAUUACGUUAAUUGACCUUGGUGAGCUAAACAAAAGCUCAGUCGAAAUUAUUUUCAGAAUUUAAACCCAACACUUUUGCAAAAUAAAACCCAGUGUAAUGGAUAUUCCUAUUAUUGUGUAUCCGCUGGUUUUCUGUAGGCAAAGGGUGAAAUCCAGCACUGCGGAAGGGAGUGGGAGCAUUGCCGUUGAUUUCACUGAUGCCAGAAUUUUGCCCAAAACAUUUACACUUCCUUUGGCUCUGACUUUUCUUUUAUUAACUCUGACAUUGGUUUCUGCAUCUCUGCUGUCACACUGCAUGGGGUGCAAGAGCAUUUUAAAAUUAACAGUGGGCUUGAGCUGCAGAGCAUGGCUCAUUGAUCAAACCUCUGAAUCCAUCUGACAGAGUCUGAUCAGGUGUUUGAUUCCUGCCCAGACACACCUCUUUGCACACUUGCAAUUUUGUUGGCACACCUGUUGUGACCAAGGUGGGAAACUUGGUGCAUUUAGCAAAUCCCAGUCUGGUGGGGCAAACUAAGCAUCAAUUUUCCUUCACCACGUAGGAGCAAGCUGUGUCAAGUACUGCACAUCACUUUAUGAUCAUGCUAAAGCCACUGUGACAACAAGCCACCUCAGCAAGCUGUCAUUUUAAUGUUUUAUCCAUUUUCUUUUCGUGUGUGUUCGCUCCACAUUCCAGUGAAGCCUCAUCUCCCCUGCCCACCGCCAUCGGCUACUAGGCUGCAGCAAAGCCCUGUCUCGAACAUGUCACAUAGAAUGAACUGGGAAAACUCCACACAAAACGUUCUGAACGCUGGCUUCCAGAGGAAAAUUCCCUCCUGGUCAGAAAGAGAGAAGGAUGAGUGAGACAGUGGUAGGUGGCACCUGCACAGGGGCACCACUCAGCCUCCUGCAGCCAGGAUUGUUGUCCUGGUGGUUUUCUGUGGGACACAGAUGCAAUCUCUGUGUGGCGGCUGCAGUGGGAACCCCUCUGUGCCUCGCUGCCACAGCUCUGUGGGAUGCCCGUGCCCAUUUAUCACUUCAAACUAAGCUGAGCAGCUCCACUGUAAUACUGCAAAUUACAGGCCUUCUAGAUCAUCAUUUUAAAGUACUUAAGCUUGUGUUGUCUUUUAGCUUUUUAUUCAUCUAACUAGUUAAGGUUCUGAAGACCUAAUCUAGUUCCCAUUAAGACAAAGAUGAUGAUUCCUUUCCCUGUGAAGUGUUACACCCCAGGAAGCCAAAAACUUUGCUGUCUGCCUUCGACAUGUAUAUCUUACUGGCAUUAACAGCUCAACCUAUAGAUUUUUCUUCAUCAGUGGGGAGGUUUUAUUCUUAUCCCCAUUUUACAGGAUGAAAUCUCUUAUCCAGUAAAGUAUGUGAGCAUGUGCCAGUUUCAACAGAGCUGGUGGAAUAUUUCCAGGAUAGACAGUGUUUGCCAAAAGUGCAAUUUGAAGUGGAAAACUAUUCACAAAUUCUGGUUGAACGUAAUGCAGAGUUUUGUCAGAAAGAAAAUCAGGGAAAAUACUUUUCUCAGGGCAAAUGUUUCAUUUCAGUAUUUUCAAAAUAAACUAUAUAAUUUUCACCUUUCUUAUACCACUUAAUUUUCAAAAUUAACCAUUUUUCUUCAUUAUUAUUUUUAAAAUAAUAUGGUCAAUUGAAUGUUAGACUUCUCAGUAAGGGAGUGAAUUGUCACUGCUCAAAGUUUCAUUUUGAUGGUUUGAAAGGGAGGGUUUGCUCAGCUAGAAUGUUUGUUGUUUAAAUUUUGAUUAAAAAACAGUAUGAAAACUUCCAUUCUAGAUCAAGCAAUGCAAUCUGGGCUGACCCAAAAUGAAACUUGGGGGGGGCUUUUAUGUUUGUUCCACCAACACAUUGUGUGUUUGAGGUUGAACCUCACCUGGAUCAUUUUUCCAGUCUGCCGUUCAGCCACCAGGCCGAAGGGAACACGUCUGUACAGCUCCUGCUCCAGCAGUUUAACUGCUCUAUUGUUUUCACUUGACUCCUGUGAAACUACCUGUGCUGGGAGUCAGCCACGUGGCUUUGAGUCUCCCUGAAUCAAUGCCCAAACAAACUUUUGGGAAGUCAAUCCAGGUGAUGGGCAGAGCCCGGCGGGGAGCCUCGGAUUCCUGGCUGGCCCUUUGGUGCUCUGAGUUCAGGACCCUUCUUCUCCAGGUUUGCAGACCUCUCUGCAACACAUCUGGGUUAAGAAGGAAGGAUGGGGGCUGAAAGGGAAUUAUUUUCUUUCGCAGCCUUCAGUGCUUAUGACCCAAAUUGGGGAAGUGUGUAAGCUGGAAGAAAUGCCUGGGUGGAUUUGAAACUGAGAUCAGGGCUACAUUUUUCAGUGAUUCUUGUAUUAGUUUAAAACGUUCUUCUGCCUCUUAUGAGCAUAACUUCCUUUAAAUAAAUACACAGAUAACUUCCCCUAGUUGCCAAGAGUUUUCCCAUCCUCUUAUAAUAGCUCCUCAUAAUAAUGCAAAAUAAGCGAUAAAAUAAAAAUGAAUUGAAAUAAUUUUGCAAUGACUACUUUAACAAUCUGUUCAGGGAACAGCAGGAACAACAAAGACAUAAAUUUAAACAUAUACCUCUAAAUAGCAUAAUUGCCUUUUAAGUUUCAAACUGUACACACGAAAAAGAAUUCCAGCCAUCCAAGAGAGAAGGAAACAUGAUCCAAAGGAUGCUUGCUACACACCAAAAUAUUUUCCACCAAACUAAGUUUUAUGAACUUCCCAAUGCCAGGCGAUAUGUAUCUGCGGCUCACUCAUACUGACUUAAUUUGUUGCUCUGUGUGACAAGUUGUAGUCUGAUCUAGCCUGACAUGCCAUGGUAUGCACAGCACACAUAUAUCAUGAUAAGACAGUUGAAAACCAAAGACAAACAGCCCCAAAGAGAGAGUUAAAUAGCAUGAUCCAGUAGGGGCCUGCAUCCAUCAGAGGGAAGCUAUUUGAAAUGGCACACCUUCCACUUGCAAGUAAAUAAAUACUGAUUGCAUGCAAUAGCUGGGAGUGAAGGAGAUAACACCGUGUUCCCACGGACAACUUGCUUUCUUCUCCUCCAUAUGUAUCAGUUACAUUCUUUCUAAUGACAUCCUUUUUUAUCAGUGUAGUGAAAAAACAGGGUGUCUUGGACUCGUAAACCCCACUGAAAUGAGAAGAUGGAAUCUCUUGCUGCUCACUGGAGAAUGAGACGAACCCAGCUGCUACUGCUGCUGUAACACGAUGCUCCUGCAUCCUCCUUCUGUUCUUUAUUACGUUGGUAAAAGCACCAGGAAUUCAACUGGCUUCAUUUCUGGCCAACUUCAGGUUCCUCUUCUAAGGACACAAAAUAUUUCUGGGCUAUAACUGAAGGAUUCCUCUGGCAAAGGGGAUGACCUCUUCAGUGUUUGAGGUUCUGAGAGAAACUACUGCCCAGCUGUAGCAAUGUUAGUUGCAUUCCCAUUACCAAAAAGCCCAGUAGGAAACAGGUGACUUUUUGUCAUUUAGUGAAUGAAGGUGUUGGCAAUUAUGACAAAGAGCUCACUUUGAAGGGGUGGUUAUAAGACACAAUCAAAACAUGUCCGUUUCGCUCCUUGUGUCUCAGGUAUCACAUCUGAGGUGUUUCUGAGGCCCUGGGAUGCAGAGGUUUAGAGCAUUACACAGAUCUGAUUUUCAUGCCUAGAAAACUGACACACACUAACACAAUGGUUUUUAUACCUGUAUUUGGGCCACAAAAGAAUAUAAAAACCCAGGCAAACAUGGCAGUAAUUUGUAACGAAUUUUUCAGUUUUCUUUUUAUAAAGAGUGGUGUUUUGACCAAGUGAAAGCUGCCUUCACUUUGGUCCCUUUGAGUUCAGCAUUGUGAGAGUCUAGCUGAGAAGCUGAGAACUUCAGUUUAUCUUAAAGUUUAUCUUAAAGUGCUCUUAAAGCUGUGUCUGUGGUGUUGUACUGCCUCACUUUGAGGAGCUGGGAUGAAGAACUGAGCACGUGCUGCAUCUGCUUAGUGUUUCUACAGACUGUGCAGGAUGAUCACUCAUCCAAAAAGAAACACUUUCCGCUCUACAUGAGCAUCAGUGGAAAUGCAGAUAGUUUCAGAGCAGUUCUCUUUUUAUCAUAGAAAACUGACAUUCUCUAUGGACCUGCUCCAAACCCUGAUCGUGUCAAUGAAAGGACUCCCAUUGAAUUCAGUGUGACUUGGAGUGGUUCCUGAAAAUAGGAACAAAGCAGCAAAUUUCAUAAAUCUUCUGAUGUGGUCCUUAAAGCUAGAAUUCAGACCCCAUGGGGCAAAGGUUUGUGAUUAGAAAGAUGAUUUGGCCUCUCUUUCUUCCUGAGUUGAACCAUUCAGGCCUCACUGAAGAUUCAUUCUUUUAGAAAUAUCAUAUGCCAGUCAGCACAGGGGAUCAUCGGUCUGUUAAAUGCUACAUUAUGCAUUUUACUUUUCAUUAUGGUAUGAGAUUUGAUUAAGGCAGUCAAUGACCCUGUGCUUAGAAACAGAAGGAAAAAAAAGGGGAAAAAAAAAAAAAGCUAAUGGAGCCAUAGAGCUAAAAUAUGUUGCUGAGAAGUGCAACAAUUGAAGGUGUGGAGGAGAGAGGAAUUAUCACAGCACUGUUGGCACUGAAGUGGUGUUGGGAGGCUUUUACCUGCCAUAAAGCAUGUGCUGGCACUAUUUCAUUUUCCACCUUGGCCAUAAUGCAGACCCUGUUUGUGUAGGAGAGUUUCCCAGCCUGAGAGCAGAGGAGUACAUGGAUGCCCACACUCCAGAAUCCCAGGCAAUGCUCACCAGCAGCUGCUGCUCUCAGCAGCCCACUGCCUGCUUAUGGCUACGCCCCUACACCUUUCCCAGGGAAGUUUCUAAAGGUGCUUAGGAAAAUAAAAGGAGUUUUACCUCUAUGUCUCUUUGUGCCAUUGACAGAAAACCAAUUUUAUUUCCUUCCCUUCUCUCCCUUUAGACCUUCUGCAUGUUCCCCCAAACUUGGUGCUGCACUUGACGUGUCAGAGCCCACUGGGAAGGAGGGACUGCUCUCUGCACAAUUUUCUGUCACAAUUCUUUCAACAUUUUGACUCAAGGUAGUUUGGCUUUAUCACUCCCUGGGUGCACUGUAGGUGCCUGUCUCCCGAGGCUCGUGACGUGAACCAUUGUGUUGACAUGUGGAGCCUCUUCUCCAAGCUGCUCUGUAUAAGUCAUUCAACCUUUUGAUUAGGAGGUUAAUUUGCAUGGUACUGUGCGUAUUCUUUUACUGGAAUAUAUGUACGAUGAAAUGUAUGAUGUAAGUUAAUCCAAAGCUAAAGAGGCCAAUAAAAGCCAGUUCCUUAAGGAGGAAGAAAAAAGAGCAGAGCUCAAUGGAAGAAAAGCUUGGUCUCAGUCCAGAGUCCUGACUCAUUGUUAGCCUCCAGAGCGUCCUGACUAGCAUCAACGUGUCCUGGAAGCAAUGUGAUUUUCCUACUGUAUUAACGAAAAAAUAAUAAAAUGUAAUGCUAAAACAAUAGGACAUACCAGAAAAAUUUCCACUGAGGAAUGGGGCUCUGUAAUAAGCUCAUGUCAGAAUGAUUUCCAUCCUGUUUGCAGAAUCUGAGCGUAUGGUGGAGUGACAUGACUUUGUGCAGGCUGUGGAGAAGGGAGCAGCUCCUAAAGGUGUGUAGACAGUUUCUUCUGUACCACGUGCUUCAGAAAGCUGGGAAACAGAAUAUGAAAUAUAUUUCUAUUAAUGGGAGCCACCCAGCCAAGAGGGAGCACUAGGAACGUGCUGUAUAGCUGCAGAGAAAUGUUAAGACCUCAUGGAAAUCUGAAAAAUGUUUCAAUGGCCUUCUACCCGUGUCUCUCCAUAACUAUAAUCUCAAUAUAUAUAUAUAUAAUUUGGAAGUGACGGCGUCCUGGAAGCUUGACUAGUGUGAGCUCACAGUUAUCUUUUGCUUGAUCCUGUGAAAUAAAUUAUAAGCAGCAAAUCCCAACUGCAGAUAAAUUCUUCUCCAUCUGUUUUCCUAUAAGAGAAAAAAAUGUAGAAUUGCUUUCAUGCAACAAUUGCACAAGCAAGUCAUAAGCUUAGAGACAAAGGAGAAGAAAGCUAGAAUGCUUUCUGGUUUAAUGCCAAAGAUUUUUAAGAUAAAAAUUCUCUGAAAGUAACUUCAAUAAACCAAUGACUGUUGAGCUUAAACAAACCUCAAGUCAAGUUACAUUCAAUUUCACUUAAAUAUUCCUUAGGAGUAAAAGAAAACAUAAAUGCACAAACCCAAAAUUUUUAUGUCUUAAUUGUCAUCUUUUUCCCACAAUAUGUCCUAAACUAAAAUGAGGUCAUUUGGAUUUUGGUAACCAGUCUAAGUACAGUGCAAAAUAUAUUUCAAGGCAGAACAAGAGUUCACAUCCCAAAAACAAAGGAGUUAGCAAAUAUAUAAAACUGCAUGAGACUGAAUGCACUCAAUGCCUAGGGAAGUAUAGUUUUACCUGUCAGAAACAAAAAAGUUGGUCUGCAUCCAUUACAUAGACAUAAAAUAAUCUCAGCAAGGGCUGCACCACAGCUAAAGCCUGAGAAAAUACUGGCUAAACUUAGCAAAAGAGUUCCUAAAUCAGAGUUGUUCCUAGCAAGGAAAAUUUUGCUACAUUUAAAAAUAAAGCAGGUACAAUCCUGUGUGAAUCAAUAAUGUGUGUAGUGACAAAAAAGUGACAAAAGAUGCUUAUACAGUUAUAAUUACAGCUUGCAGGUCACUUAAAUGCCUUGCAUGGACAGUCCAUAAAGAGAAUACGACCAGGCACUAUGAAUAAGAGCAUGAAUAAAUAGUAAAGAUGUAGAAGUAAGGCUAAUGAAAAAUAAACAUUCUUGUUAGGAAGAGAGAGAGCGACAGUAAGAAUUAGAGUGAUCCGGAUUUUCAGGAAUACAAGUGAGUGAACACGUACUGCAGACUUUGCAUAUGAGUAUCUGGAAGGGAUCUAAAAAUCAAAAAUAAUUAAAUGUUUGGUAGUUACAUCUGUCCCUCUUUAAUCACAGCAUGCUUAUCUAGAACUUCGUAGGCAGUGAAGACUUUUUUUCCUACUUUCAUAUUUGUUGUGUUUUUUCAGUUUCUAUUAAAUAUCUACCAGAAGUGCUCUGAUCCCACUCGAAAUCCAAACCCCCAAAAAUGCAUGAAGGGAAAUAAUCCAAAUGUCAAAUGCAACCACGAGCAGUUAGUCAAUCCAUCCAAACAAAAGCAAUCGAGCCACAUCCUUCUCUUUCCUCUCUGGAGACUCACAUACAUCUAAUAAUAACCCACCACGGGCACUUCGAGGAAAGGGAAGUGAGGAGGAGCUGUGAGUUUUGACCCCAUUCUAGAAAACAAAUAGUGUCCAGGCAUUUUGGUGAAAGUGCAUCAGCUGGUGACAUCCCAGUGUAAAAGUUUAUGUGAAUAAUCUGAAUUACACACAGAGAUCUGGUGGAGCAUACACUGCCACUUGCAACGUGUAUGAGCAACUCAAGAGGCUCUAACAACCCCUCUCUGCAACCUCUGAAGUGUUCCUGCUGUCCUGCAAGGGUCUCUCCUGCAUGAUUUCACAUCAAGUUGGUAUUGGAAAAGCCAUGAAAAAGUAGGAUGAGUUUUUCUCCUGAUGAGACAGUCCGUUCAUGAUUUACAGGCACUGGGUCUCCACUGCCCUUGCCCAGGUCCUCCCCAGCAGCAAGGGAUGGUAGCAGCACCCGUCUAAUUCUCCUGCAGCCCCAACUAAAGUGUGAAAUCAUAAAUGUGCUUUGGCAGGAUGUAUUUAGGUGACAGUUUUGGGGAAAACACUUGGUUUUCUGUUGACCCUCUUGCAUCAAAGAUGCUGGCAAGAUUAACUGGUGGGUAGUGGCCACAGAGGGAGCAACUGUGCACUGUCAGGGGAUUUCAUCUGGCAAACACUUUGUGGAGUUUAUUAAUCCCCUUGAGCUGACCAGGGCUGCUUUUAUGUGUGAAGUUAAAUAUAUGCCUGCUUGCAGGGUGAGGGGCUUUAUGUAUUUAUACCUCAUGUCCUUGAAAAUCUAUCUUUCAUAUGUCAGUACUUGGUUCGUGUGCCUUAUUCCCCUGUAUGCUACCCUGAAUGUAAGUUCUUUAUGAAUCUACCUGAAAUUGUCUUUUGCAAAUGUGUUGGUUUCAGUUUGCAAGAAAGUUGUUCCUCUUUGUACUGCUGGGCAUUUCUUUUGUUCAUUUUCCUUUGUUAGAGGCUGACAGCAUACUGGCUGCAGUUUUCAUGUGAUCAUUCUUGAAAUUGCUUCGUGCUUGGACAAAUGUGUAGGUGUUCUGUGCAACUUCUUUAAAUACUGAGUGAAAACAGUACUUCAAGAAUAAAGGAAUAUAUCACAAGA